UAACGACUGAACCAGCAAUUUGGAGGAAUGAACAUAUGUAAAACAUAUAUUAAUUUAUUUAAUUAAAGUUCUAGGUAGAUUAUUGAUAAUGACAACUAUCUAUCUAUAAGUCUUGACCAAAUCUUGUGCCAGCUGUCGCGGUAAGACGAGAAAGACUGCGCUAUUCAUCUUUAUUAGGUUUAAAGGGUACCUAGACGGUAUAGAAACUAAAGAAUAGUGAUGUACUAGAGUUGAUUAACGAGAGGGUAGAACUGAUAGUGUAGAGAUAAAAUUUAUUGAUACUAUUUAGGACUGGUAAUAGCGAAAGCAAUCCUUUAAGAUUAACUGACGUUGAGGGACGAAGGCCUGGGUAGCAAACAGGAUUAGAUACCCCAGUAGUCCUGGCAGAAAAUUAUGAAUGCCAUAAAUUCUUAGGGUUUAUAAAUGAAAGUGCAAGCAUUCCACCUCAAGAGUAAUGUGGCAACACAGAAAUUGAAAUCACUAGGCCGUUUCUGAAACCAGUAGUGAAGUAUGUUAUUUAAUUCGAUAAUCCUCGAAGAACCUUACCACAGCUUGAAUAUUUACUAUUAGGUAAUUACAAGUGUUGCACGGCUGUCUUAAGCUAAUGUCGUGAGAGAGA
rnacentral:rRNA from 2 species